AACCACCAUCGUCCGAAGAGAAGCGUUUCACCAAAGAAGUCGUGCAAAAAUAUUUCAAAAAGGUUAAGCCUCUCUAUGUCAAAGUCUCCUGCAACUUGUACUAGUUUAUGUUUCUCCUCGCCGUCUCCGUCGUCAUUAGGAACAUCUUCUCUGCGAUCUUGACCUUCUGCUUUGCAUUAGGUUCGCUUCUUCUUUCUCUU
rnacentral:lncRNA from 1 species